GUGACCCCGCGGGGUGACAGGGAUGUGGCCAGUCUCCACGGUGCACCCACGACUAACCGGGAGCACCAGGCAGCCCUUCCGACCCCAGGAGAGCAGCCAGCCAGGGCCUGACACAUCAGUCAUCGGCAGUGAAGUAGGCCGACGGUCCUGUCCAAGGGGAGGACAUCGGGGACAUCCUCACAAGCGACGACCCCCGGGUCCUCCGCUCUCCAGGGAGACACAAGCCCCCUCACUAUGCAACCUCCUUAAAGGCAGAGGCCGUCAGUGCGGGGACACAGGGACCUACAAAGAGUUAGGAAAAUAACCCAAAGGUACAGCAAUGAGGAGCUGGUUAAAUAAAUUAAACUGUGCCCAUGCAAUGGACUAUUAUACAAACGUGGCCAUUAAAAAAUAGGUUGUGGAAGAACGUUAAUAGCCUAGAAAUGCCAUUGAAAGAGACUUUGAAGUGAGAAAAUAGGUUACAGGUUUCUACAAUAGAUGUCCACUUUGGAAGGAGAAAACCUGUAUAUACAAGCAUAGGAAACAAAACAAAAUGGUAAUAAUUAUGCUGGGUAGUGGAUUUCUGAGUGCUUUCUAUAUUUGCCGUUUGCUUAUCUAUAGUUUAUAUGCCAUUAAAGUCUAAUGAAAUGCAUAACUUUUGGAAAAACUAGGUGAACAAGUAAAUGUUUUUAAAGACAGAUGCUGGUUUUCUCACCAGGAGGGAGCCACCGCCCCGGGGACCCCGGGACAUCAGCCCUGGUCCGCCACACACCUGCCCCUUCACCUUUGCACACUGGACGCCAGGGCCCACACUGGACAAGGAGCUGGACAGAAGAGGUGAUGACAGUGGUCAGGCUCACCGUGACCACUUGGGAAACCCCACUGCUGCCACCGACUGCCACGGGGUGUGGGGACCCAGCACACAGGUAUGCCUCCCUCGGAAGCACAGACCCCACGGGCCCGGCACCCCCAUGGAAAGUAGGCAGACUGCUGCCCACAUUCUGGGAGCACGGGGACACAAACUGGCCUUCCUCCCACUCGGGCCGUUCCUCCUCCAACCUCCACCAGUGGCUUCAGCCAAGCGCAGACCCAUAGGCCCAGAAUUUAGAAGAAAACGUCCUGAGGAUAGAAGGGGAGUCACAAGAAUGUUUCUGAGAAACCCCAGGAUAUUCACAAGAGGUGGAAAGACCGCCCAGAAUUUGACUUACAGCUGCCACGUCAUUUCUGCGAGAUGCCGGGAGAAAGGGAGGGAGCCACGCGGACGCCCCAUCGCGGCCGCACUCCAGCCUCCGUCUGAGCAGCAUCAGCACCUGGUGGCCCAGUCCCUCCUGCUCCUCUAGCCUGCCAUCUCUGCUCCAGACCGGUCUCCACGCUGUUCCUUCCAGCCCGCCAUCUCCAGGAUUCAGACCACGACCAGCUCCCCGAGAUGCUGGGCCCUGCCUGGCACCCUCCUGACGCUGACGCCCCCUCACCCCAACCAGCCCACGUGGCAGGUCCCAGCCAGAUUGGUCUGAAAUUUGACAUCAUUUUGUCAAGUUGGUUAUCUUUUCAAACCUGCGGAAUGUCCCUAUUUCCUGCCCGAAGCGAUGCUUCUCCUCCCACAGGGGAGGUAGGAAGAGCGUCCACCCUCUCGGUAGCCGUGCGGACCCCACAGCUUCCCCACGAACAUUGUCACCCUGACGGCCGCAGCACUGGAUUCAGAGAUCGCUGGAUUUAGCCCCCAAUUAUAGGUUGUCUCUGCUUAACAAUUAUUUUCACUCCCCAUUCCAAUAGGAAAUCCCUGGGGGGGAAAGGCAUAUACAUAGGAAAUCUCAAAUCAUAUGUGUGAAGGGACGGGGACAGAAUGAAACGUCGGGGAGCUGCCUCAAAAGCAGGAGAGCAGCAUGAAAUGUGACCCUGGCUCUUGAGAAGAUGAUGGUUUGCUUGUCUGUCAGCCACAAAAAGAAGUAAACAUUUAAAUCACAUAUAUGUUUUGUUCACACUUGCUGAGAAAGUAUGGCAUAACGGGUGAGACCGUCCUAAGGUAGAGAAGGAAGGUGGGUUUCCAGCAGGAGUUUGGGGAAGGGUGACCCGGCUGGAGGUGGGGGAGGAGGGGCCAGGACUGCUUUGAUCCCAAUGUGCGCCUUCCGGCCUGUGCCUUUGUUUCCACUUCAGUAAACAAGAGUGUGAACUACACAGACCCUGUCUUCUGGUCCCUCGCUUCUUCUGGGAGGGGAGCGGAAAGGGAGCAAACAAGUAGCCGCCUCCCUGCUGGCCUGGGGGGUGGCGGCCUCGGGACGCCCGCCAAGGAGGAUACGGAGGCCAGUGCAGGGCUCCUCAGAAAGGAAGCGGGCACCAGCUCAGGAAGCCGCUCAGACUCCCGCUGGUGGAGGGCAGGGCAGCUACCCAGGGGACCCGGCCCAGAGCCGACACCGUGGAGGAAGAUGUCCAGGCGCACCUCAUGACGGCCCGUGCGGGGAGCAGGGACAGGCCAAGCAGGCUCGGAGCGAGUGGGGGAGAUGGCCCCUGCUAGCUGCAAGCCCCCUCCCGGGACAAGGAUGCAGCCAGAUGGCUGUGGAUCAGAGAGCAAGGGCCCCGGGUCCCUGUGCAUGACCUAAAGAUGGAGGUGACAGGGCCCCCCUCACACGCCCUUAUGGAGAAUGAAUAGACUCUGCCCGUCAAGCGGCUACUUAGAUACCCAACACGUGGCAGAAUUUUAACAAUAAAGGAUGUCUCUGUGUGCAAGGCUUGCCUCUGGAGGACCUCGCCUCUCCUCAGCCCCCCACCAGUGUGACCACGGCGGGCAGGGAGAAGAGCAUGGGACCGGACUGCUUUACCACUUAUCAGUGGCUCCGGAGGUGGGCCUGGUAGGAGAGAGGGGUGAGACUAUCGAUUAAUGUAUGGUUUAUAUAUUCUUUUCGGUGGCUUUUGUGUUUGUUCAUUUAGGGAGAGAGGGAGAGAGCACGAGCAGGGGAAGGGCAGAGAAAGACGCAGAGACAGAGGAUCCCCAGCAGGCUCCACAUGGGUGUGGCACAGAGCCUGACGCAGGGCUCGAUCUCACGAACUGUGGGAUCAUGACUUGGGCCGAAAUCAAGAGUCAGACACUAAACUGACUGAGCCCCCCCAGGCACCCCAAGUUUGUAUAUUCUUUUAAAGAGGUAAACACAGGGGCGCCUGGGUGGCUUAGUCGGUUGGGUGUCCAACUUUGGCUCAGGUCAUGAUCUCACAGCUCGUGGGUUCAAGCCCUGCGUCGGGCUCUGUGCUGACAGCUCAGAGCCUGGAGCCUGCUUCAUAUUCUGGGUCUCCCUCUCUCUCUCUGUCCUCUCCCGCUCAUGCUGUCUCUCUCUGUCUUUCAAAAGUAAAUAAACAUUAAAAAAAAGGUAAAUGUAAAUAAUUCCAAAUAUUGGCAAGGAUGUUGGACAGCUAAAACUCCACGUGUCUUUCACAGAACCAUAAAUGACAGCAUGUUAAAAAAAAAAAAAAGCUUAACACUUUCUUAUAAAAUAAAUACACACCUACCUUAUGAACCAACAGUCCCAAUCCAAGAUGUUUAUCCAAGAGCAAUAAAGAUAUAUGUCCACAAAAAUACUUGUAGAAAAAUGUUCAUACUAGCUUUAUUCAGAAUAACCCCAAACUGGAAAAGCCCACACGGCGGUCUCCAGGAUGAGGGCAAGUUAGGGCACACCCCUCCAACAGGCACUGUUUGGCAGAGACAAAUGCCAGGCUACUGAGGAGCAGUGUGGGUGAGUCACGGAAGCAUGAGUCUCUUACCUUUAAGACCAGACGCUCUAAAUGUACACACUAGUGCAAGCAAAAACAGACCCAUGCUAGGAAAGAAUCAAGGAGAGUCAGACAGACAUGGACUGGCAGGGGACAUGGGAGGACUUCUGGCCUGAUGUUACCUGCUGCCCCUCAGUUUUAUCUACCUACCCUGUGGCCAGCCAUGGAGCUCAGUGAUUGGAGAGAAAGUUCUGUGAAGACAGCCACUCUUGGAAAGAAACAGCCAGUGUGCAUUCCCACCAGCAAUGCAAGAGGGCUCCCCUUUCUCUGCAUCCUUGCCAACACCUGUGGUUUCUCAUGUUGUUGAUUUUAGCCAUUCUGAGGUGUGAGGUGGCAUCUCAUCAUGGUUUUGAUUUGUAUUUCCCUGACGAUGAGUGAUGUUGAACAUCUUUCCAUGUGUCAGUUGGCCAUCUGGAUGUCUUCUUUGGAAAAGUGUCUAUUCAUGUCCUAACUGGGCUAUUUGUUUUUUGGGUGUUGAGUUUGGUAAGUUCUUUAUAUAUUUUGGAUACUAACCCUUUAUCAGAUAUGUCAGUUGCAAAUAUCUUCUCCCAUUCCAUAGGCUGCCUUUUAGUUUCACUCAUUGUUUCUUUCACUGUGCAGAAUGAAGGGGCACAUGCACCCUAAUGUUAACAGCAACCUUAUCAACAAUAGUUAAACUAUGGAGAAAGCCCAAAUUUCCAUUGACUGAUGAAUGGAUACACACACACGCACAUGCACACACAAAGGAAUAUUACUCAGCCAUCAAGAAGAAUGAAAUCUUGCCAUCUGCAGCAAGGUGGAUGGAGCUAGAGUGUGUUAUGCCAAGUGAAAUAAAUCGGAGAAAGACAAAUAUCAUAUGACUUCAUUCAUAUCUGGAAUUUAAGAAACAAAACAGAUGAACACAUGGGAAAUG